GCCCGCCUAGCUCAAUCGGAUAGAGCGUCAGACUCUUAUGGCGGAUACAAGUUACCUGCUAGAGUACAAUCUGAAGGCUGCCGGUUCGACCCCGGCGGUGGGCU